rnacentral:tRNA from 3 species
GGGCCCAUAGCUCAGUUUGGCAGAGCCACCGGCUCAUAACCGGUCGGUCCCUGGUUCGAACCCAGGUGGGCCCACCA